rnacentral:rRNA from 1 species
GACGAACGCUGGCGGCGUGCCUAAUACAUGCAAGUAGAACGCUGAAGGAGGAGCUUGCUCUUCUGGAUGAGUUGCGAACGGGUGAGUAACGCGUAGGUAACCUGCCUGGUAGCGGGGGAUAACUAUUGGAAACGAUAGCUAAUACCGCAUAAUAACAGUUGUUGCAUGACAACUGUUUGAAAGGUGCAAUUGCAUCACUACCAGAUGGACCUGCGUUGUAUUAGCUAGUUGGUGGGGUAACGGCUCACCAAGGCGACGAUACAUAGCCGACCUGAGAGGGUGAUCGGCCACACUGGGACUGAGACACGGCCCAGACUCCUACGGGAGGCAGCAGUAGGGAAUCUUCGGCAAUGGACGAAAGUCUGACCGAGCAACGCCGCGUGAGUGAAGAAGGUUUUCGGAUCGUAAAGCUCUGUUGUAAGAGAAGAACGAGUGUGAGAGUGGAAAGUUCAC